UGCCCAAACUCUUGCCAUUCGGUUUCACUAAAAAUCAGCGAAGGUUUUUGCAGCUUGCCUUUGCUUCUUGCUCACAGGACCAAGUGUUCCAAAUCGGCUUCUUUAACUUUUUCAGCUCUCUUUGAGAGAAUAUGAAAGAGAAGAUGUACAGAAGCCUGGAGAUCCCUAUAUAAAUAAAGCCCUUUAAAUUGCCUCCGUCUGAGAAAGGAGGUGAAAAGGUUAUAUGCUGCUUGCCUAUCCAUUACUCACGUCAGCGCUGUUGCAGACCCUCUAGGCUUCGGCAGCACGUAUCGGCUGAGCCUGCCGUUGCGGUCACUCAGGGCGCGGCUCCAGGUAGAGCCUAAUCGCCGUCCGUCUAGCUGCGGGACCCGAACCCAACGCAACGUCUCACAGAUCCAGGCGGGGGGGUCCCGUCCAUUCGGGCGCCAUAUGUUGGUGAGAUUGUCGCAGGAAAACGAGUCUCAUAGUAUCAUGGUCAACACGUUUUUCAGUUUAUUGGAGUCGAUUACAGUUUCUUUAUACAAGCACUAACUAGUUCAUACAUAUUGCAAAAGCGAAGCUCAGGAUUGGUUACCUUUCUAUUAACACAUAUAUCUCUUUGGGAUAAGCCUUGCGGUUACUGCUUCUUUAUACUUGAUUACUUUUCUGCAUACCAAGCAAUAUUUCAUUUUUAUCGAGACAUCUGUAUACUCAAGGUUGUUAGGAGAUGUCUGGCUCUAAAGUUUGAUAGAAAACAUCUGUUUCUCAAGGGCAUAGUUUUCAUGCUACAAGUCACGUAUUCUCACACUCUCAUCAACUUAACUUUUUCGUGUCCCUUCCUGCGCAGCUAUUCUUUAGCUAAACUCUCGACAGGAAUGGCUUCCCUCU